rnacentral:piRNA from 1 species
UUGUCUUUUUAGUGCCCAAUAGUGUCAAU